rnacentral:rRNA from 1 species
UGGCCUUGCGCCGGCGAUGGUUCAUUCAAAUUUCUGCCCUAUCAACUUUCGAUGGUAGGAUAGUGGCCUACCAUGGUGGCAACGGGUAACGGGGAAUUAGGGUUCGAUUCCGGAGAGGGAGCCUGAGAAACGGCUACCACAUCCAAGGAAGGCGCAGGCGCGCAAAUUACCCAAUCCCGACACGGGGAGGUAGUGACAAUAAAUACUGAUACGGGGCUCUUUUGGGUCUCGUAAUUGGAAUGAGUACAAUCUAAAUCCCUUAACGAGGAACAAUUGGAGGGCAAGUCUGGUGCCAGCAGCCGCGGUAAUUCCAGCUCCAAUAGCGUAUAUUAAAGUUGUUGCAGUUAAAAAGCUCGUAGUUGAACCUUGGGUCUGGCUGGCCGGUCCGCCUCACCGCGAGUACUGGUCCGGCUGGACCUUUCCUUCUGGGGAACCUCAUGGCCUUCACUGGCUGUGGGGGGAACCAGGACUUUUACUGUGAAAAAAUUAGAGUGUUCUUAGCAGGCCUUUGCUCGAAUACAGUAGCAUGGAAUAAUAGAAUAGGACGUGCGGUUCUAUUUUGUUGGUUUCUAGGACCGCCGUAAUGAUUAAUAGGGAUAGUCGGGGGCGUCAGUAUUCAGCUGUCAGAGGUGAAAUUCUUGGAUUUGCUGAAGACUAACUACUGCGAUAGCAUUCGCCAAGGAUGUUUUCAUUAAUCAGGGAACGAAAGUUAGGGGAUCGAAGACGAUCAGAUACCGUCGUAGUCUUAACCAUAAACUAUGCCGACUAGGGAUCGGGCGGUGUUUCUAUUGAAUGACCCGCUCGGCACCUUACGAGAAAUCAAAGUUUUUGGGUUCUGGGGGGAGUAUGG